GCCGGCGUCAUUUUUGUGAUUUGCAGCUAGUAAUCUGGCUCCAGUUGCAUAGUCACAAAAGUGAUCGUUGGC
rfam:Chaetura pelagica isolate M959 contig26024, whole genome shotgun sequence.